UACGUAGGGUGCAAGCGUUAAUCGGAAUUACUGGGCGUAAAGCGUGCGCAGGCGGUUUUGUAAGACCGAUGUGAAAUCCCCGGGCUUAACCUGGGAACUGCAUUGGUGACUGCAAGGCUUGAGUGUGUCAGAGGGAGGUGGAAUUCCGCGUGUAGCAGUGAAAUGCGUAGAUAUCUGGAGGAACACCGGUGGCGAAGGCGACGUCCUGGACCGGCAUUGACGCUGAGGCGCGAAAGCCAGGGGAGCAAACGGGG
rnacentral:rRNA from 1 species